CCAUACCACUCUGAAUGCACCUGAUCUCAUCUGAUCUCAGAAGUUAAGUAGGGUUGGGCCUGGUUAGUGCUUGGAUGGGAUGGGACAUGAUGAGGAACUGGAGG
rnacentral:rRNA from 1 species